rnacentral:rRNA from 1 species
CUUGAUUAGUUUGUUGGUGGGGUAAUGGCCUACCAAGACGGUGAUCAAUAGCUGAUCUGAGAGGAUGAUCAGCCACAUUGGGACUGAGACACGGCCCAAACUCCUACGGGAGGCAGCAGUAGGGAAUAUUGCACAAUGGAGGAAACUCUGAUGCAGCGAUGCCGCGUGAGUGAAGAAGGCCCUUGGGUUGUAAAGCUCUUUCGUCGGGGAAGAAAAUGACUGUACCCGAAUAAGAAGGUCCGGCUAACUUCGUGCCAGCAGCCGCGGUAAUACGAAGGGACCUAGCGUAGUUCGGAAUUACUGGGCUUAAAGAGUUCGUAGGUGGUUAAAAAAGUUGGUGGUGAAAUCCCAGAGCUUAACUCUGGAACUGCCAUCAAAACUUUUUAGCUAGAGUAUGAUAGAGGAAAGCAGAAUUUCUAGUGUAGAGGUGAAAUUCGUAGAUAUUAGAAAGAAUACCGAUUGCGAAGGCAGCUUUCUGGAUCAUUACUGACACUGAGGAACGAAAGCAUGGGUAGCGAAGAGGAUUAGAUACCCUCGUAGUCCAUGCCGUAAACGAUGUGUGUUAGACGUUGGAAAUUUAUUUUCAGUGUCGCAGCAAAAGCAGUAAACACACCGCCUGGGGAGUACGACCGCAAGGUUAAAACUCAAAUGAAUUGACGGGGACCCGCACAAGUAGUGGAGCAUGUGGUUUAAUUCGAAGAUACGCGCAGAACCUUACCAACACUUGACAUGUUCGUCGCGACUCUAAGAGAUUAGAGUCUUCGGUUCGGCCGGACGAAACACAGGUGCUGCAUGGCUGUCGUCAGCUCGUGUCGUGAGAUGUUGGGUUAAGUCCCGCAACGAGCGCAACCCUCACUUUUAGUUGCCAUCAUUUAGUUGGGCACUCUGAAAGAACUGCCAGUGAUAAGCUGGAGG